rnacentral:lncRNA from 1 species
AUCUCACACCUCUUCUCAAUUUCUCACACCCCAUUUGAUGAGAAAAAGCCAUGUGGACAUCAAGAUGGGUUGAAGAGGCGCCUUAUUGCAGAAGGACUCUUCGAACUCAACUUACGGUGUUCACAUGAGAAGUCGCAAUGCUACUCUUAUUGGCGCCAUCAACCCAUGCCUUUAGAUCUAGAAGGAAGCCCAUCCAAUGGCCAAGAUAGAGGUGCCAACU